CCCGUUGGACGGCUACCAUGCAGUCGAGCGGUAGCAGGCCCUUCGGGGUGCUGACGAGCGGCGGACGGGUGAGUACUGCAUAGGAAUCUACCCGGUAGUGGGGGAUAACCUGGGGAAACCCAGGCUAAUACCGCAUACGUCCUACGGGAGAAAGCAGGGGCCUUUUGGCCUUGCGCUAUCGGAUGAGCCUAUGCCGGAUUAGCUGGUUGGUGAGGUAAUGGCUCACCAAGGCGACGAUCCGUAGCUGGUCUGAGAGGAUGAUCAGCCACAUCGGGACUGAGACACGGCCCGAACUCCUACGGGAGGCAGCAGUGGGGAAUAUUGGACAAUGGGGGCAACCCUGAUCCAGCCAUGCCGCGUGUGUGAAGAAGGCCUUCGGGUUGUAAAGCACUUUCAGCGAGGAAGAACGCCUGGUGGUUAAUACCCGCCAGGAAAGACAUCACUCGCAGAAGAAGCACCGGCUAACUCCGUGCCAGCAGCCGCGGUAAUACGGAGGGUGCGAGCGUUAAUCGGAAUUACUGGGCGUAAAGCGCGCGUAGGCGGCCUGAUAAGCCGGUUGUGAAAGCCCUGGGCUCAACCUGGGAACUGCAUCCGGAACUGUCAGGCUAGAGUGCAGGAGAGGAAGGUAGAAUUCCCGGUGUAGCGGUGAAAUGCGUAGAGAUCGGGAGGAAUACCAGUGGCGAAGGCGGCCUUCUGGACUGACACUGACGCUGAGGUGCGAAAGCGUGGGUAGCAAACAGGAUUAGAUACCCUGGUAGUCCACGCCGUAAACGAUGUCGACCAGCCGUUGGGUGCCUUGAGCACUUUGUGGCGAAGUUAACGCGAUAAGUCGACCGCCUGGGGAGUACGGCCGCAAGGUUAAAACUCAAAUGAAUUGACGGGGGCCCGCACAAGCGGUGGAGCAUGUGGUUUAAUUCGAUGCAACGCGAAGAACCUUACCUACCCUUGACAUCCUGCGAAGCCGAGAGAGAUCUUGGUGUGCCUUCGGGAGCGCAGAGACAGGUGCUGCAUGGCUGUCGUCAGCUCGUGUUUGUGAAAUGUUGGGUUUAAGUCCCGUAACGAGCGCAACUCUUGUCCCUAUUUUGCCAGCGGGUCAUGCCGGGAACUCUAGGAGACUGACUGUGACAACGGAGAGGGUGGGACGACGUCCAGGUCAUCAUUGCCAUUACGGGUAGGACUAACCACACCACCGGGUG
rnacentral:rRNA from 1 species